rnacentral:rRNA from 1 species
GAUGAACGCUGGCGGCGUGCCUAAUACAUGCAAGUCGAGCGAACGGACGAGAAGCUUGCUUCUCUGAUGUUAGCGGCGGACGGGUGAGUAACACGUGGAUAACCUACCUAUAAGACUGGGAUAACUUCGGGACACCGGAUAUAACACCGGAUAAGAUUUUGAACCGCAUGGUUCAAAAGUGAAAGACGGUCUUGCGGUCACUUAUAGAUGGUUCCUCGCUGCAUUAGCUAGUUGGUAAGGUAACGGCUUACCAAGGCAACGAUGCAUAGCCGACCUGAGAGGGGGAUCGGCCACACUGGAACUGAGACACGGUCCAGACUCCUACGGGAGGCAGCAGUAGGGAAUCUUCCGCAAUGGGCGAAAGCCUGACGGAGCAACGCCGCGUGAGUGAUGAAGGUCUUCGGAUCGUAAAACUCUGUUAUUAGGGAAGAACAUAUGUGGAAGUAACUGUGCACAGCUUGACGGUACCUGAUCAGAAAGCAACGGCUAACUACGUG